rnacentral:snRNA from 1 species
GGAUGUGAGGACAAUCUGGCUGCAAUAUCUCUUACCCCAUUGAUCACCAAGGUUGAUUUGGCUGAUCUAGCUGGCUAAGCUUCCUCCUUCA